CGCAGUUAAAAGGAUUUGGUUUAAUCUUGUGCAACGAAUAAUGGGUUGCCGGUCUGAUGUAUUGCGGUGGUGUGAAGCGAAUGCGUAUUGUGUUACCUUUCUAGUUGGGUCGAAUGUAGAUGAUGCUGGAUUGUUUGAUGAAACAUUUCUGGGAAUUCCGUUGAUAGAUAGGUAGUGGUUGUUUAGUGUGAUGAUAGAUAAUGUUGUAGAUUCAAGCUAGUUCUACUGCAGUUAGGUUUGUUCCGGUGGUAGGAGAAUGAACUGCUAGGAAUUUCAUGGGGCUGAGUAAUUAGAUAUUGAAUUGCUGAAAGACGAGAUAGAAUUUAGGUAGUGUAGUAGAUCAGAUAUUGACAAGGAGAUUGUGGAGGUAACAAAUUUCCGUUAGACAUGGGGUUGCCUCAAGUGCCCUCCAGCAAUAUUGCUGAGGAAGUGGCCACAUCAUUGAGCACAUUUGUUCAAACUCCUGCUAAAUUUCCUGGCAUGAGUAGUUGUGAUAUGAGUGGAAUGCAUAUAAGUUGCCUUAGCAAUCGGACAUCAGCGGAUUUUUCAUUCGUCUCGUCUAGGGAUGUUUCCAGGGAUGCUGAUUUUCUUAGUCUACGUAAAGAUGGUAUGACAAGUAUGCAUAAAUUGAGGAUUGACUCUGCAGAAAAUCAUGGCUUCUUCACUCAUGAUGGUGGAAG
rnacentral:misc_RNA from 1 species